rnacentral:rRNA from 1 species
CAUAUCAGCCAUAUCACCCUGUAACCCAAGACUGGUUGCUCACUGAAGUUAAGCAGGGUUGAGCCUGGUCAGUAUCUGGAUGGGAGACCUCCUGGGAAAACUAGGUUGCUGCUGGAA